rnacentral:misc_RNA from 1 species
GAUGAAGAACGCAGCGAAAUGCGAUAAGUAAUGUGAAUUGCAGAAUUCAGUGAAUCAUCGAAUCUUUGAACGCACAUUGCGCCCGCCAGUAUUCUGGCGGGCAUGCCUGUUCGAGCGUCAUUUCAACCAUCAAGCCCCGGGCUUGUGUUGGGGACCUGCGGCUGCCGCAGGCCCUGAAAUGCAGUGGCGGGCUCGCUGUCACUCCGAGCGUAGUAGUUACAUCUCGCUCUGGGCGUGCUGCGGGUUCCGGCCGUUAAAAGCCUUAUUUACCCAAGGUUGACCUCGGAUCAGGUAGGGAGACCCGCUGAACUUAAGCAUAUCAAUAAGCGGAGGA